rnacentral:rRNA from 1 species
GAUGAACGCUGGCGGCGUGCCUAAUACAUGCAAGUCGAGCGAACAGACGAGGAGCUUGCUCCUCUGACGUUAGCGGCGGACGGGUGAGUAACACGUGGGUAACCUACCUAUAAGACUGGGAUAACUUCGGGAAACCGGAGCUAAUACCGGAUAAUAUAUCGAAACGCAUGGUUCAAUAGUGAAAGAUGGUUCUGCUGUCACUUAUAGAUGGAUCCGCGCCGCAUUAGCUAGUUGGUAAGGUAACGGCUUACCAAGGCAACGAUACGUAGCCGACCUGAGAGGGUGAUCGGCCACACUGGAACUGAGACACGGUCCAGACUCCUACGGGAGGCAGCAGUAGGGAAUCUUCCGCAAUGGGCGAAAGCCUGACGGAGCAACGCCGCGUGAGUGAUGAAGGUCUUCGGAUCGUAAAACUCUGUUAUUAGGGAAGAACAAAUGUGUAAGUAACUAUGCACGUCUUGACGGUACCUAAUCAGAAAGCCACGGCUAACUACGUG